rnacentral:rRNA from 1 species
UAGGGAAUCUUCCGCAAUGGACGCAAGUCUGACGGAGCAACGCCGCGUGAGUGAAGAAGGAUUUCGGUUCGUAAAACUCUGUUGUUAGAGAAGAACAGCGCAUAGAGUAACUGUUAUGCGUGUGACGGUAUCUAACCAGAAAGCCACGGCUAACUACGUGCCAGCUGCCGCGGUAAUACGUAGGUGGCAAGCGUUGUCCGGAUUUAUUGGGCGUAAAGCGAGCGCAGGCGGUCAAUUAAGUCUGAUGUGAAAGCCCCCGGCUCAACCGGGGAGGGUCAUUGGAAACUGGUUGACUUGAGUGCAGAAGAGGAGAGUGGAAUUCCAUGUGUAGCGGUGAAAUGCGUAGAUAUAUGGAGGAACACCAGUGGCGAAGGCGACUCUCUGGUCUGUAACUGACGCUGAGGUUCGAAAGCGUGGGUAGCAAACAGG